CGGCCGCGUCGACGGCGGACGGGUGAGUAACACGUGGGCAACCUGCCCUGCAGAUCGGGAUAACUCCGGGAAACCGGUGCUAAUACCGAAUAGUUUGUUUCACCGCCUGGUGAAACACGGAAAGACGGUUUCGGCUGUCACUGCGAGGAUGGGCCCGCGGCGCGAUUAGCUAGUUGGUGGGGUAAUGGCCUACCAAGGCGACGAUGCGUAGCCGACCUGAGAGGGUGAUCGGCCACACUGGGACUGAGACACGGCCCAGACUCCUACGGGAGGCAGCAGUAGGGAAUCUUCCGCAAUGGACGCAAGUCUGACGGAGCAACGCCGCGUGAGUGACGAAGGUUUUCGGAUCGUAAAACUCUGUUGUGAGGGAAGAACAAGUACCAAGUAACUACUGGUACCUUGACGGUACCUCACCAGAAAGCCCACGGCUAACUACGUGCCAGCGGCCGCGUCGACCGGAGGAUGCAAGCGUUAUCCGGAAUGAUUGGGCGUAAAGCGUCGCAGGUGCAGUUCAAGUCUGCUGUCAAAGACCGGGGCUUAACGUUCGGAAAGGCAGUGGUAAACCG
rnacentral:rRNA from 1 species